rnacentral:rRNA from 1 species
AUGUCGCAAUAUUGGUGGGGUGACGAAGAAAACCAUAAAAGGAUGCAUUGGUUCGCUUGGUGGAAGAUGUGUGUACCAAAGGAAAGGGGUGGUAUGGGUUUCCGGGACAUUCAUAGUUUUAACAUGGCCAUGUUAGCCAAACAAUGCUGGAGACUCAUUGAGAAUUAUGACUCACUUUGUGCAAAAGUUUUAAGGGCUAGAUAUUAUCCUUCUGGGGAUAUUUUGAACUAUGAAUUGAAGAAGGGCUCAUCCUUUGUGUGGCAAAGUAUUUGGGCAGGAAUACAAACGUUCAGAAAAGGAUGCAUUUGGAGAGUCGGAGAUGGUGCAAAGAUAGAUAUAUGGAGUGACUGUUGGAUUCCCAGUAGUGCAUCGCGGAAAAUUGUUACUGUCCGUGGGAACCAACUGCUCACUAAGGUCAGUGACCUCAUCGACCUCUCCCCAGGAGAGUGGGAUGAACAACUAAUAAGGGACACUUUCUAG